CAUGUUAGCCAAUUAAGGCAGUGUGAGCAUGAGGAGAGCGAGCAGGAGAAGGAGAAGGAGGCAGGGCACCUACGGUCGGCUCCUUCUCCAGAACCACGCGGCGGGAAAGGAGGUUAGAGGACUUUUUCUUCUUGGGACGCCGCAUCCAUGGAGCUCCGACCCCAUUGCCACUGCCAUACAUGGAGCUCUGGCCCAUGGCCAACAGCUCAAGUGUUUUCCUCGCACACGUUGGUGCGACACAGAGACACCGUGGGGAUUCCUUCCACUACGACGUCUCCUGGUUUCUCCUCCGGUGCCCCCGUUCUUCUUCCACUUCAGCAAGUGGUGCACGACAGAGCCAGUUGUGUUUGGUGUGCGCAGGUUGGAUUCUUCUUCCACUCCGGAAAUCUGGU